rnacentral:misc_RNA from 1 species
CUUGCUACUAGUGUUCUGCAAGAAUCUAUCUAUAUGGAUGACCUGAUCAGCGGUGCUGACAGUCUUCAUGAAUUAAGUUGUCUUUUCGAACAAUUAACUUCUUUGCUAGAAACCCAUGGUUUCCUCCUCCACAAGUGGAACUGCAGUUCUUCAGAAUUUCUGUCUCAACACAAUUUAAAUCCCGUCUCUGAAGUCAGUCUUAACUUCACGGGAUCUGAUAAAGUCUUAGGCAUAUUCUGGGAUUCAGAACGCGACCACUUUUCGUUUAAAACUCCUAUCUUCAAAUUGGCUAAUGUUGUUACUAAACGUACUAUUCUCUCCUACAUUGCUACUUUGUAUGACCCGCUAGGAUGGUUAUCCCCUGUCCUUGUGAACGCUAAGCUCUUGAUACAGGAAAUAUGGUCCCAGAAAUUGGACUGGGAUCAACCCAUUGACUCACCCAUCAUUAUGAAAAAUUGGCAAAACCUCUUAUCGACAUUCAAAACUAUAGAAGAGGUCAAGGUACCUCGAUGCUUACUUUUACAAAAGAAAGUUGUUGAUGUUCAAUUAAUUAUUUUCACCGACGCAUCGGAAAAAAUAUACAGCACUUGUGUGUAUCUCAAAGCGACAUACUCAGACUUUUCUGUAUCGUCGCGGCUUAUCGCUUCUAAAAACAAAAUUUCUCCGCUAAAAAAUAAAUUCACCAUCCCCAAAUUGGAACUUUGUGGAAUAGUGUUGGGAGUCACUCUGGCUCAUAGACUUUUUCACAUCUUCAAGAAAAAUUUGAGUAUAUCUUCAUCUCAUCUCUUUGCUGACUCUACAAUUGCCUUGUCUUGGAUACUUUCUAAAAAACACAUUUGGAACAUUUUUGUACAAAACAGAAUUCAAAAGGUCAAUUCCUUGUUGGAAACUUUUCCUUGUGAUUUCCAUUUCGUCAGAAGUCACGAAAACAUCGCUGACCCCGCUUCCAGAGGGAUAAAUGUCUUUGAUAAUCCCCAGACCACCGAAGACUGGUUAUGCGGACCUAGCUUUAUUAGAGACAAUCCCAUCGAUUUUUCUCUUCAUCAAAUUCCUCAUUUUCAGGAUGAUCUUCCUGAAUUAAGGAAGUUAGUUGUCUCAAACAUAGCAACAAAUCACGAACUCAACGACACCUUUGAAAAUCUAUUCGCUAAAUCUUCUUCUUUUCGUAAAAUUCAAAGAAUUGUCGCUUAUCUUUUUAGAUUCAUCAGUAAUAUUAAAAAGAAAAUAAAUAACUCUCCACGAGAUACGGAUAUAUUGACGCCACCCGAAAUGGAGAUCGCUGAUCACGCGAUCAUCAGGUAUAUCCAAAGUAUCUACUUUAAAAAAGAGAUUCUUGAAUUGAAAAAUGCUAAACUCGUGACCAAUAAAGCCAUUCGUAAACUCAACCCCUUCCUACAACAUAAUGAUGGGCUGAUUCGUGUGGGAGGACGUCUCCGACACGCCCCCAUAUCGUAUAAUCAAAAACACCCCAUUCUACUUCCUUCUAAAUGUCGAGUUGUAGAACUAAUCUUGACUCAAGCUCAUCAUAAGUUAUUACAUUCAGGCGCGCAAACAGUACUUUCGUAUGUCAAAAUGAAGUACUGGCCAAUUGACGGAUUAAGACAGAUUAAACGCUUAAUUCGUAAGUGUGUAAACUGUUUCCGAUUCAUGACACCCAAUUCUGUUCAACAGAUGGCAGAUAUGCAUCCCGAUCGUGUACUCCCCACUAGACCCUUCCAAGUCGUCUCAGUGGACUAUGGGGGGUUCUUCUUAAUUAAGUCCUCACAUUUGAGGAAGGCACCGCUUUACAAAGCAUACGUAGCCUAUUUCAUUUGCAUGAGCACUAAAUGUGUUCAUAUCGAACUCGUCACAGGAUUAAGCGCAGAAGCCUAUAUUCUUACUCUGAAAAGGUUUAUUGCCAGAAGAUCCACGCCCAGUAUUAUUUGGAGCGACAAUGCCACAAAUUUCCAUGGGGCAAAAAAUGAAAUGCGCGAAUUCUAUGAUUUUUUCUUAAAUCAAAAUAAUUCGGAACAGAUUAAGGAAUUCUGUACUCAAAACUCCAUAACUUUCAAGAUGGGUGUUCCCCGCAACCCCCAUCAAUUCGGCCUCCAUGAGGUAGGAAUAAAGAGUGUGAAGUAUCACCUCUAUCGAAUUAUAGGAAAUUCCCACUUCACCUUUGAAGUGUUUAACACAGUAUUAUGCCAAAUCGAGGCUAUUCUAAAUUCGAGACCCAUCACUAGGAUGUCGUCUGACGCCAAUGACUUCGCUUUCCUAUCUCCAGCUCACUUCUUAGUUCAAAGAAGUUUAACCGCGCCCCCUGAACCAAGUGUUUCAGAGAUACCUGAAAAUAGGUUGAAUCUUUUUCAGCGUAUUAGUAAAAUUCAACAGCAAUUUUGGAAAUUGUGGAAAAAAGACUAUCUUUGCCUCCUGCAGCAAAGAAAUAAAUGGACCGACCCUACUGACCCUGUCAAGAUCGGGGAUUUGGUUCUGUUGAAGGAGGAUGGUACUCCUCCACUCUUAUGGCCAACUGCCAGGGUAAUAGAUGUAUUGCCUGGUAAGGAUGGUCUAGUUCGUACUGUCAAGAUUCACACUACUCACGGUGAUUUUCUUCGUGGUAUUACGAAAAUCGCUGUGAUUCCCCUGGAAGAUUAAAAUCUAUCCCUAGGGGGAAAACUUAUCGUUUUCCUCCAUUUUAUCGUUGUUACCCCUUGUGUAUAUAAACUCUAAUUUCUUCAAACAUUUCUUAUCGUUGUGCACAUCUUUGCCAAUCCCCUCUCUUCGAGGUGAUAUAGGCCAUCUCUCUCGCCUGUCGCCCCCGGCAAUAUGUACAAUAAAUAUAUUAUACACGGCUCACUAAAAUAAUUAGUUACGCCCCUGUACUACUGAUUACUUAAAAUUCAAGUAGUAUUUAUGUAACCUUUCUGGAAACUCCAGGUUAUUGUCGAGACUCGCAUUUGAACCCCUCGCCGGGGCAGAUCGUCAAAAGCUUCCUAACGAGAAUCAUCUCUAAUCUAUCGACGCUCCCGCUAUUCGUAAAAAGGCCGCAUUUUACCGGCUUUUUUUGCUAUCGUUUUAUACCGCUCAGAUAAUUCAAUCUGCUCAGUAUUAUCGACGAUGAUUUAUUUAGCGUAUUAGUGAGUGCCUUACAAAUGAACCAAAUGGAUUAUGGAAUUCAAUCAGAGCUCUGAUGUGACACGUCAUCAAGGAAUAAAACUGAAGAAGAAGAGGAAGAAGGUAUCGAAGCAGGUGCAGGGGAGGAUAAAAGGUCCAAAGGAUCUUCAGAAGGAGAUGGUACUACUGGUAGUUAUUCUAGUUUAGAAGACGACGAACCUGAAGCUGUAGAUCAGUUAGCAGCCCUUGCAGCUCGAUACCAAAUUGACAACGUCGACCUUGGAAACGGAAAUAAAAUAUAUAACACUCAACUG